CACGUAGGGGACGAGCGUUGUCCGGAAUCAUUGGGCGUAAAGCGCGUGUAGGCGGCUUUGCAAGUCGGGUGUGAAAGCCCUCGGCUCAACCGAGGAAGUGCGCCCGAAACUGCUUAGCUUGAGUAUCGGAGAGGAUGGCGGAAUUCCCCAAGUAGAGGUGAAAUUCGUAGAUAUGGGGAGGAACACCGGUGGCGAAGGCGGCCAUCUGGACGAUCACUGACGCUGAGACGCGAAAGCGUGGGGAGCGAACAGG
rnacentral:rRNA from 1 species